UACGAGGGGGGCGAGCGUUGUUCGGAAUUAUUGGGCGUAAAGGGUGCGUAGGCGGCCUGACAAGUCUGAUGUGAAAUCCCUGGGCUCAACCCAGGGCCUGCAUCGGAAACUGUCGGGCUUGAGUAUGGGAGAGGUGAGUGGAAUUUCCGGUGUAGCGGUGAAAUGCGUAGAUAUCGGAAGGAACACCUGUGGCGAAAGCGGCUCACUGGACAGCUAUAUACGCUGAGGCACGAAAGCUAGGGGAGCAAACAGG
rnacentral:rRNA from 1 species